UACAGAGGGGGCAAGCGUUAUUCGGAAUUAUUGGGCGUAAAGGGCGCGUAGGCGGCUUUUCAAGUGACGGGUGAAAUCCCUCGGCUUAACCGAGGAACUGCCUGUCAGACUGGAAGGCUUGAGACCGGGAGAGGUGAGUGGAAUUCCCAGUGUAGCGGUGAAAUGCGUAGAUAUUGGGAGGAACACCAGUGGCGAAGGCGGCUCACUGGACCGGAACUGACGCUGAGGCGCGAAAGCGUGGGGAGCAGACGAGG
rnacentral:rRNA from 1 species